AUAAAGAAUAGUCAACACGUCGACCGCUACUGCCUAUUGGCGCUGACGAGCCGUGGGGCCGCCAUCUUAGACCGGUCAUCCGACCCGCUCCACUCAGUGCUGUUUGGCAGGCGCAAUGACGUGUCAGCA